UACGAAGGGGGCUAGCGUUGCUCGGAAUGACUGGGCGUAAAGGGCGCGUAGGCGGAUUGUACAGUCAGGCGUGAAAUUCCCGGGCUCAACCUGGGGGCUGCGCUUGAGACGUGCGAUCUUGAGUGGGGAAGAGGGUCGUGGAAUUCCCAGUGUAGAGGUGAAAUUCGUAGAUAUUGGGAAGAACACCGGGUGGCGAAGGCGGCGACCUGGUCCUUGACUGACGCUGAGGCGCGAAAGCGUGGGGAGCAAACAGG
rnacentral:rRNA from 1 species